ACAAAAGCGCACGUGCUGUGAGCUCGAUGAGUAGGGCGGGACACGUGGUAUCCUGUCUGAAUAUGGGGGGACCAUCCUCCAAGGCUAAAUACUCCUGACUGACCGAUAGUGAACCAGUACCGUGAGGGAAAGGCGAAAAGAACCCCGGCGAGGGGAGUGAAACAGAACCUGAAACCGUGUACGUACAAGCAGUGGGAGCCCCACCACUAAGCCAGUGGUGAACUCCACAUACGCAUCCUUUGCUGAGGAUGCGGUUAACGGAGCGAAAGCGACGUUCAACCGCAAAAGAAGCAGAGGGGGCUUAGUGGUGGGGUGACUGCGUACCUUUUGUAUAAUGGGUCAGCGACUUAUAUUCUGUAGCAAGGUUAACCGCAUAGGGGAGCCGGAGGGAAACCGAGUCUUAACCGGGCGUUAAGUUGCAGGGUAUAGACCCGAAACCCGGUGAUCUAGCCAUGGGCAGGUUGAAGGUUGGGUAACACUAACUGGAGGACCGAACCGACUAAUGUUGAAAAAUUAGCGGAUGACCUGUGGCUGGGGGUGAAAGGCCAAUCAAACCGGGAGAUAGCUGGUUCUCCCCGAAAGCUAUUUAGGUAGCGCCUCGUGAAUUCAUCUCCGGGGGUAGAGCACUGUUUCGGCCAGGGGGCCAUCCCGGCUUACCAAUCCGAUGCAAACUGCGAAUACCGGAGAAUGUUAUCACGGGAGACACACGGCGGGUGCUAACGUCCGUCGUGAAGAGGGAAACAACCCAGACCGCCAGCUAAGGUCCCAAAGUCAUGGUUAAGUGGGAAACGAUGUGGGAAGGCCCAGACAGCCAGGAUGUUGGCUUAGAAGCAGCCAUCAUUUAAAGAAAGCGUAAUAGCUCACUGGUCGAGUCGGCCUGCGCGGAAGAUGUAACGGGGCUAAACCAU
rnacentral:rRNA from 1 species